rnacentral:lncRNA from 1 species
AUCUAUAGGGAAAAGAUUGGCCUUGCUGACUGCCUUGCAAGGUGCAGCUACAACCUGGACUUAGGCAUUUGCUAUUUUGAUAAUGCUCAUGUGUGGGCAAAUGAUGCUCUGGUUGAUGACCUUCUAAGGGUCUCUCGUUCUCGUCAGAUUUCCCUUGUUUGUUGGGGUUUAUCCCUUCCCUCUCCCGCCCCUCCUCCUCCUCCUCUUGAACUCCAUGUAAUAAAUAAAAAAUAUUUGAUUUAGUUAGGUUCAGUUCCGAUUCGGUCGCUAAUCUCCUGUAGGUGAAAUUGUGAGCUUGAAAUGCAGCCGCCGCCCCGCUCUGGGGGUGGGUGGCUUCCCCAUCUUCCAUCUUUCUCUCCUCAUCUCCCUUUCACCUUUCCUAGUUUUCUUUCCCUCUCCACUUCUCUUCCUAGAUUUAUUUGGAUUUUAGGUCAUUUUACCCAAAUCUAUCUAGAUCUUGUCUUUUGUUUGUUUAUUUGUGUGUUUUCUGUUGUAGGUCCUUGGUGAAUUUUGUUGUUCUUGGAUGUGUCUUGAUGUCGCUGGGAUAGUUGCGGUAUGGUGUUGUCAACGCAGCUUUUUUCUUUGGUUCUCGUUGUGUUUUGAAGCAAGUACUGCAAUCUACUGCAUAUGCCAUGAUUUUGUAGCAAUUUUUGGUCCACUUACAUGGAUUUUGCUCCAAUUCAGUAUUUGGAGUUGGAAAAGUGAUUGUUGCCAGUUUGUGUGGGAUCGGGUUUUGCCUAUGCACAAUAAGAGGUUUAGCCAUGUUGGUGCUACAAGUAUCUUUGGUUGUUGGAGAGGAUGUGGUGCGGUGUCCUUGUUUCUUUGUUUAUUUUAGUAUAAUAAUUCUCAGAAAUUCAAUAGGAGUUUGUUGAUAUUUGUAUUUAGUGUUCGACUUUUCAAUGCGGAUUUGCCGUUACUGAUGUUGUGCAAUGGAUCUGUAUUGCAGGUCUGAGUACAUGUACUUUUGUCUGUUGAAUUGGAGGUUUUAGGUUUUCUGGCAUGCGUAAUUCUCUCCAGAUCAAACCAAUUUAUUUUUGUAUUUGGUCACUGGAGAUGUUGUACUCAUAUUUUGGCAUUGUGG